UGGGGAGUGGCCUAACGGUAAGGCACAUGCCUCUGGAGCAUGGGAUUGAAGGUUCGAGUCCUUCCUCCCCAG
rnacentral:tRNA from 3 species